CAAAUUUCAGAUGCCAUCGCAGAUUGCAGCCUGGCAAUUGCCCUUGAUGGGAAUUAUGCGAAGGCACUCUCAAGACGAGCUUCUCUUUUUGAGAUGAUCAGAGAUUAUGGACAAGCAGCUUCAGAUCUUCAGCGACUUGUAUCCCUUCUGACAAGGCAUAUGGAAAAUAAAGUCGGUGGAUCUGGAUCACAUAACAAAGUGAUUUCCGUAAAUGAGAUUCGACAAACACAACAAAAGCUUUCAGCCAUG
rnacentral:misc_RNA from 1 species